rnacentral:rRNA from 1 species
CAUCGUUUCUCUCGAACGCAAAUUGCGGCUUUGGGCUUGCCCUUAGCCACGUUUGAUCGAGUGUCGGC